rnacentral:lncRNA from 1 species
AUUACCUGAUUUAUUACUCAGAACAUGGGCCGGGUGUUGUCCCCGUAAGAAAGCUUCUGCAGGAAAGACUCGUCAUCUCCUCCAUAAGAAAGCUUAAAGUUGUCCCCAAUGCUAACAUUUCCAGCCAACAAACCACGAAGUUCGUAUGCCAUCUGAAAUAUGUCGAGACAUAAUACUAAACGUGUCAUAAGAAAUACAUAUUGGUCAUAAGCAAAGAAAUGUAGGAUAGGAGCCAAGAUGGAAUAUACCCAGAUGAAUGAACUUUUCACAUUAUGAAAGAUGUAGCACAAGCAUACUGGCUUAAAUUGUACAUUAUCUGCUUCACCCCAGAUAAGAAGAUAGAGACCCGCGUAAUGCAAUCUUGUUGCCCUUGAGGGAGCCUCCGAGAACGAGAUUUGUAUUAAUAGGAUUACACGUUCAAUAACAUGCAUAAGAUCUCCAAUUCACACAUUGAAAGCAGAAGUACAUGGAGCAAUUAGAUGGAUAUACAAUUGUAUCUCAGGUAAACUGUGUUUUCUUCCCAUGAACUUGCACCAUGUUUUGUAGUUCUUAAAGAGCUUGUUCAUAAUUGCAUCAACAGCUCGAUCAUCAAGCUGGAUAAGAGAAACACAUUAAAGUUUAAUCAGUGUCCAAUUAUGGAGAAGACAUGUAACAAGUCAUUAUUAUCAGUGUAUACUAGUAGAGUAGCAUCCAAGCAACGUGAAAAAAGGAAAAAAAAAUCCCAAACAAAUAAAAUUGCAUACUCCGGAACUGUUACCUGAAACAUGGGCCGAUCCGGUACGAAGAAUGGGAACAUGGUAUGCCACAUGCCCUAAAUGAUGGUAUGAUAUGAAUAAUAGAAUGUACUUGGUUCAUGUAAUAGCCAUUUCUAACAGCAUUAAGACCAUUUUUUUAACAUGUCUUGCCGAAAGAUGUUUGGUUUAUCACAAUUGAAUUUUAUUUUCUCCAAGGCACAUGCUUAAGAAAUAAAUAGUAGGGAAAAUUUUGGGAUUCGUUUUGGAAUGCUAAAUUUACCAUUUUGAAAUGAAGAUGUACCAUGUUUUUGAAUACGUUUUCUAAAAUGCAAAGGUAUUAGCAUUUUUUGGUAAUACAAGUCCAGGAAGUAAGUAUAGAACAAAAAAAUGCAUACGAAUAUAAAGUAACUUUCAGCUGAGCUCUGAAAAUCUAAUGCAGCAUCACAAUCAUAAUCAGCGUCACUGCAACCACCUCUCUUCUGUUAAGUAGUUAUUCACUUUGCUAGCUCGAACUCCAUCCUCUCCAUGGCUGCAGUCGCGGUCCCAUUGGUGUGCAGUGUUGGGUGAUUUAUUGCUUUAGGUGGUUGGGGAGGCAGAGGGUGAUCAACCAAGUGAACCAUUUUUGACAAAGGGAUGAACCCAUAAAUGGUAACGAUGGGGGUGGCCAGGUGCUCCAACUGUCAGAGAUAAAGAAGCGGUGAUGCCACAGCCGUGGUAGAUUGGGG